UACGGAGGGUGCAAGCGUUAAUCGGAAUUACUGGGCGUAAAGCGUGCGCAGGCGGUUUGUUAAGUCCGUUGUGAAAGCCCCGAGCUCAACUUGGGAAUUGCAGUGGAUACUGGCAGGCUGGAGUACGGUAGAGGAAGGUGGAAUUCCCGGUGUAGCAGUGAAAUGCGUAGAUAUCGGGAGGAACACCAGUGGCGAAGGCGGCCUUCUGGACCAGUACUGACGCUCAUGUACGAAAGCGUGGGGAGCAAACAGG
rnacentral:rRNA from 1 species